AAGCUCGGCUGUGCCCUAGCAGCACGUCAAAACUGGAGUUAACUGGUUAAAUCCUCCAGUAUUGCCUUGCUGCUUGAGCGAGGUAGGAGCCUGGUUCA
rnacentral:pre_miRNA from 1 species